CUUCAUAAAUCGGCCAAAUCUAUCAUUCAGAGCGCUGCCACGGUGGAGGGGAGACGUGAUUAGCUCCCAAUCCUUGCUUAAUCCUGUGGUGGCUAGGAGUGGCUGAACGAUGGACUGUCACGGCACUCCUUUGUUUGGACAUCUCGCGCCACCACCUCCGAACCAUGCAGCAGGCGUCCAAAACGGUCAUACACUGCCAAGGUCUACAAAAGGAGGAGAUCAAAGGAAACUUGGCAUUAAAACUAAUCAAAAACUGAUACCCAUUUAUCAACCAGCCCAAAGGGGAAGAUUAACAGCUGGGUGGGCUGGGCACCAACUACCUGGACCAGGAUUGAACCUGGACCUGCAGAUUCACGGCUAAGUGUGCUAACCACAGAAGUUUGCAUAUAUAAAAUCUACUAUGGGUUUCAGAGACAGUGUUCCCUCAUUUUUUGGAAAUAAUUCUGUAACAAAAUGUUGAAUUAGGUUCAUAUUCUGUCAAAGAUCGUUUCAAAUCUCUUGCUAAUUUUUGUCACCAUUUAUUAACAAAAAUAAAUAAUUAAGGCACUUCCCUUCAAUACGUAACAAAAUUCAGAGUCGAGGAGCUGCCCUCCAGCACGAACAAAUCGUGACGUUGCUGCACCCCAUAGUUACCUUCCAUCUCUCUGAUAGACAAUACCACAGCUCCUGCCACUGUCAGCAUUACUGUAUUUAUCCAGUGUAAUCAAGAUACCAUAAGGAUAUUUAGGAAAAGUGAGCCUACCAUUGUGUACACAAGACAUUGUUGCAUAUCAUGAACCUAAACAUUAGAUCAAUCAAUCAAU